UAAACCCGGGAAACUGGGUAUAAUACCCGAUAGGUCUCGAUUGCUGGAAUGCAUCGAGAUUUAAAAGCUCCGGCGCCUAAGGGAUGGGUCUGCGGCCUAUCAGGUAGUAGUGGGUGUAGCGUACCUACUAGCCUACGACGGGUACGGGUUGUGAGAGCAAGAGCCCGGAGAUGGAUUCUGAGACACGAAUCCAGGCCCUACGGGGUGCAGCAGGCGCGAAAACUUUACAAUGCUGGCAACAGCGAUAAGGGAACCUCGAGUGCCAGGUUACAAAUCUGGCUGUCGAGAUGCCUAAAAAGCAUUUCAUAGCAAGGGCCGGGCAAGACCGGUGCCAGCCGCCGCGGUAACACCGGCGGCUCGAGUGGUAACCGUUAUUAUUGGGUCUAAAGGGUCUGUAGCCGGCCGGAUAAGUCUCUUGAGAAAUCUGGCAGCUUAACUGUCAGGCUUUCAGGAGAUACUGUCUGGCUCGAGGCCGGGAGAGGUGAGAGGUACUUCAGGGGUAGGGGUGAAAUCUUGUAAUCCUUGAAGGACCACCAGUGGCGAAGGCGUCUCACCAGAACGGACCUGACGGCAAGGGACGAAAGCUAGGGGCACGAACCGGAUUAGAUACCCGGGUAGUCCUAGCCGUAAACGAUACUCGCUAGGUGUCGGCCACGGUGCGACCGUUGUCGGUGCCGUAGGGAAGCCGUGAAGCGAGCCACCUGGGAAGUACGGCCGCAAGGCUGAAACUUAAAGGAAUUGGCGGGGGAGCACCACAACGGGUGGAGCUU
rnacentral:rRNA from 1 species